rnacentral:rRNA from 1 species
CCGGCGACCGGCGCACGGGUGAGUAACACGUAUGCAACCUGCCCUUCGCAGGGGGAUAACCCGGAGAAAUCCGGACUAAUACCGCGUGGUACACCAGUGGAGCAUCCCACGGGUGUUAAAAGGAAGCGAUUCCGGCGGAGGAUGGGCAUGCGGCGCAUUAGCUUGUUGGCGGGGUAACGGCCCACCAAGGCGACGAUGCGUAGGGGUUCUGAGAGGAAGGUCCCCCACACUGGUACUGAGACACGGACCAGACUCCUACGGAAGGCAGCAG